rnacentral:rRNA from 1 species
UCCAGACUCCUACGGGAGGCAGCAGUAGGGAAUCUUUCACAAUGGGCGAAAGCCUGAUGGAGCAACGCCGCGUGCAGGAUGAAGGCCUUCGGGUUGUAAACUGCUUUUAUAAGCGAGAAAUAUGAUGGUAACUUAUGAAUAAGGAUCGGCUAACUCCGUGCCAGCAGCCGCGGUAAUACGGAGGAUGCGAGCGUUAUCCGGAUUUAUUGGGUUUAAAGGGUGCGUAGGCGGGCUGUUAAGUCAGCGGUCAAAUGUCGGGGCUCAACCCCGGCCUGCCGUUGAAACUGGCAGUCUCGAGUUGGAGAGAAGUAUGCGGAAUGCGCGGUGUAGCGGUGAAAUGCAUAGAUAUCACGCAGAACUCCGAUUGCGAAGGCAGCAUACCGGCGCUCAACUGACGCUCAUGCACGAAAGUGUGGGUAUCGAACAGGAUUAGAUACCCUUGUA